AAUGAACGCUGGCGGCGUGCCUAAUACAUGCAAGUCGAGCGAACAGACGAGGAGCUUGCUCCUCUGCCGUUAGCGGCGGACGGGUGAGUAACACGUGGAUAACCUACCUCUAAGACUGGGAUAACUUCGGGAAACCGGAGCUAAUACCGGAUAAUAUAUUGAACCGCAUGGUUCAAUAGUGAAAGACGGUUUUGCUGUCACUUAUAGAUGGAUCCGCGCCGCAUUAGCUAGUUGGUAAGGUCACGGCUUACCAAGGCAACGAUGCGUAGCCGACCUGAGAGGGUGAUCAGCCACACUGGAACUGAGACACGGUCCAGACUCCUACGGGAGGCAGCAGUAGGGAAUCUUCCGCAAUGGGCGAAAGCUUGACCGAGCAACGCCGCGUGAGUGAUGAAGGUCUUCGGAUCGUAAAACUCUGUUAUUAGGGAAGAACAAAUGUGUAAGUAACUAUGCACGUCUUGACGGUACCUAAUCAGAAAGCCACGGCUAACUACGUG
rnacentral:rRNA from 1 species